UACGUAGGGUGCAAGCGUUGUCCGGAAUUAUUGGGCGUAAAGAGCUCGUAGGCGGUCUGUCGCGUCGGAUGUGAAAACCCAGGGCUCAACCCUGGGCCUGCAUUCGAUACGGGCAGACUAGAGUUCGGUAGGGGAGACUGGAAUUUCCGGUGGAGCGGUGAAAUGCGUAGAGAUCGGAAAGAACACCAACGGCGAAAGCACUCUGCUGGGCCGACACUGACACUGAGAGACGAAAGCUAGGGGAGCGAAUGGG
rnacentral:rRNA from 1 species